GAUGAGCGCUGACAGAAUGCUUAACACAUGCAAGUCUACUUGAUUCUACUUCGGUAGUUGAUGGUGGCGGACGGGUGAGUAACGCGUAAAGAAUCUGCCCUUUAGUUUGGGAUAACCUUUGGAAACGAAGGCUAAUACCGGAUAUUAUGGAGACGUCGCAUGGCGACUCCAUGAAAGCUAUAUGCGCUAGAGGAGGACUUUGCGUCCCAUUAGUUAGUUGGUGAGGUAAUGGCUCACCAAGACCGCGAUGGGUAGCCGGCCUGAGAGGGUGAUCGGCCACAAGGGAACUGAGACACGGUCCUUACUCCUACGGGAGGCAGCAGUGGGGAAUAUUGGACAAUGGGCCACAAGCCUGAUCCAGCAAUUCUGUGUGCACGAUGAAGGUCUUCGGAUUGUAAAGUGCUUUAAGUAGGGAAGAAAAACAUGACGGUACCUACAGAAGAAGCGACGGCUAAAUAUGUGCCAGCCGCCGCCGUAA
rnacentral:rRNA from 1 species